ACUCCUGCGGGAGGCAGCAGUGGGGAAUAUUGGACAAUGGGCGCAAGCCUGAUCCAGCCAUGCCGCGUGAGUGAUGAAGGCCCUAGGGUUGUAAAGCUCUUUCACCGGAGAAGAUAAUGACGGUAUCCGGAGAAGAAGCCCCGGCUAACUUCGUGCCAGCAGCCGCGGUAAUACGAAGGGGGCUAGCGUUGUUCGGAAUUACUGGGCGUAAAGCGCACGUAGGCGGAUCGAUCAGUCAGGGGUGAAAUCCCAGGGCUCAACCCUGGAACUGCCUUUGAUACUGUCGAUCUGGAGUAUGGAAGAGGUGAGUGGAAUUCCGAGUGUAGAGGUGAAAUUCGUAGAUAUUCGGAGGAACACCAGUGGCGAAGGCGGCUCACUGGUCCAUUACUGACGCUGAGGUGCGAAAGCGUGGGGAGCAAACAGGAUUAGAAACCCCAGUAGUCCCAUGAU
rnacentral:rRNA from 1 species